AAAGUCGAACGCCCAUUUGAGAGUCUCCAACUAUUUACAGAGUUUCCUGCUUUAACUGCAGCUCCAGUUUCUUGUCCUUGCUGGUCUACUGAUCCAUCUGUGAAGUAUGUGAAGCUGCCAGAUGUCAAGUUUACUUUUAUAUGCAUCUGUGCUUUUUGGGUUUGAACAGCUUCAUUCCAUAUCCAACCUUCCACAUGUCCAUUUUGGCUUAUGUGCACCUGAUCUUGCAGGGUGAGUCAUGUGGUGUCCUGAGAACCAACCAGGUUUCAUUGUCUGGCUAAUCUCUUCAAGGUUCUGCCCUUUGGUUUGAGUCUGGCUCCCCUUGCUUUUAGUAGGUUAGUGUUGGGUGUUGUGGCCUGGCUCCAUCGCUUGGGGUUCUCUUGUUGACCAAUCUUGAUAACUGGCUAGUUUGGGCUUCCGGUUGGCAUGUAUAUGUCAGCUGGCCAGGGCUCUGGUUCUUUCCCAGCUCACUGAGCUCGUUCCUGGUGAACUGGUGCAAAUUCCAGUUGGUUCCAUCUCUAGUUUGGACUUGUCUGGGGCCCUCGUUUGGGACUCUUAGGUCAGUGUCUCUGUAUCUGCCUCCGGUGGCCUUGCUAAGCUUACAACUUUGUUGCAGCCUGUUGAUCAAUCGGUUGUGUGGCAAUCAUUCUUUGCCUGUAUGUUUUCCUGCAGUGCAGAGUUUGCCACCAGGCAUUGUUCCAUUUUACCUGUUUUGCCGCUUCUGAGACUGGCGGGUUCUAGCCACAACCACCCUUUGUUUGCUCAUGCUUCACUGGCUUCCUCUUCUGAUUUUUUGUGGCUCAGGUUCUGUAGCGCCAUACUUUCCCAUCACUUGAUGUGGUUAUGGAUGGCUCAACUCUGGGUUUGGGCUUCAUGACCAGCAUUUACCAGGUCUUCCAAGAUCAUUAGAUGGGACCAUUCCUUCAGGUGCACUGCAUGUUUCAUAAAUUGUGGCUAUGUGACAUUCCCUGAGGAAGAUUUCAGCUUCCUCUGGGAGUUUUGAUGCUCUUGUUCCAUUCUGACUGCUUCCCGGUAUUUCAUUGCCUGAACUGCAGGAGGUGGGUGGGUUGCUUUGGUUUUCCCCUUCUUUUGGAACUAUUAUUAUAUAAAUGAAAUUAUGAAAUUAUAUAAAGCCACUAAUACAUAGAGCGUUUCAAGCAUAAUAUAAAAUAAUCGGGUAAUUUAUUUAUAAGUUUAAUGGGGGCAAUACUAAACAAAAAGUAAUGUUACACAUAUGAAUUGUAAAAAAAUUAGCAAAUUAUUAAAAAAAAAUUAAGUGAUAUUUAUUAAUGAAAGGCAUAGACUACUUAAAUAUAGAACCUGUAGUUUUAGUAAAAAUACAGAUACAGUAUAUUAUUUAAUGUUCACAAUAAUAGCAAAUCGGUUUGACUUACGUAGGUUGAGUAAAUGUGAGUUGAAAUUGGUUAUAUAAUGUUAAUUAGGUAUUUUUUAGUUUCUCAUUCAAAAUGAUUGAGGAAAGUACAGUUUUAAAUCUCUUCUGGAAUGCCAUUGCACUAGUUAAGACCCUUUGAGUUGUACGACAUUUCUGCUUUGGCUGAGUCACACUCUUGAGAUAUCAAAUAAAAAUAGAUAUUUGUUUCUGGUGUGGUGGCCAUAAGUUCUGUUACAGCUCUCAAGGAGGUGUUUGAGGUAUUGCAAUGUAAAGUUUUAUAGAUAUAGAGCACUUAGUGUGUGCAAUUAUCUUGGUAUUUAACAUAUUCAAGGAUUUCAAUAGGGCAGAUAGAUGAGUGAAUAAUAUAGUGUUACCAAGGCAUAGCAUGGUACAUAAUACUGGAUUUUAGAGAGAGUUCCUACUAUUUUACAAACUGUUAUGUUUGUUUAUGGCUAUUAAAAUUCAGCUGGUUGUUAACUUGAACUCCAAGGAAUUUUACAUCCCCUCUGCUCUCAAUUUGUGUUUUGCAAAUUCUUAGUUCAAUUUGAUUGGUUGCCUUCUUUCUAAACAUUAUGUAAUACAUUUUUCAUUGUGUAGGAUGACGAUUAAAGUAGUCUGCACACUAUAUUUUGGCAGGUUAUCAUUUGGGAGAAAUACUGUACAUUUAAACCACAAGAAAAUUUUAAAUUUUUGUACAGUAUGCAGUUUUACGAUACACUUUACACAAUAUUCCAAAAUGUAUUUGAUCAAUUUGCUCUUGUACAGUGUUAACUGACUUGGUUUAACAUGUGAUUUAUUUAUUUGUUUAUUUAUUUAUAUAUAUACAAGAAGGUACAUUGGGAUUGUGAGGAUACAUAGCGUAGUAAUUACAUUCUUGUAAAGCCACUAGUACGCGCAACGUUUCGGGCAGGUCCUUAAUCUAAAAAGUGAUAUUCAGGUACAGUAUCAUGAAAUAUAGUAUUGGCAGUUCUUCCUUUUUGGUCUUGAAAAAUUUGUCUUAUAUAUUUUUAUACAAUAUUUAAAUUAGACAAUUUACUAUUUGAAGAGUUGGUUAUUUAGUGUGUUCAUCAAGAUUUAUAAUAAGUAAUUGAUUUCUAUCAUAGAUAGCCUUACUGCUAAAUGUUGUCUUAACUCAUUCUUUGAGUGAGUAGAUAUCUGCUCUAUACUGUAUUUGGUUACCAGCAAUUGGAGUCUUAAAAACAAUUGCUUUUAAAGUUGAAUGCUAUUGUUUGUAGUAUUACAGAAUACAGUACUAAAUUUUGCUGUCAUGACCCAUAGGAAAUAUUCUUGUAUCAAACUUGGUACAGUAUAUACUAACAUUUAAUUAAUACAUAAACAUUUUAAGGGAACAAUAUAAAAAUCUACAGUAUUGGUGACCAGCAGCAAAAUGUGUUGAGUAGUGAACAAUAUAUGAAGAACUUUAUGCUUGAAACACUUAUGUUCUUAAGAUGAAAUCCCAUCAAACUUAAGUACUGUGCUAAAUAUGUUAUAAGAGGCGAGUACAGUAUUAAUAUCUUGGCGUAACGUGAGUUUCUCACACAAGGAAAUUCAUUGGCAGAUCACUUUAGUUUCACACUGAUAAUUAAUAACUAACUGCCAAAGUAAGCCUCCAUGAAAUGCUUUGAUACUCUCCUUUAACUUUCUGUACUGUCUUACCUUAAAUUUUUUAAACUUUCAUUAUUAUCUUACAUAAAUUAUACUGUAGUGAUGUAUUCUCCAUUUUUCAUAUAUGGGAUAACUGAUGAGAAGAGCAAGUAGCUGUAUCUACAGUUAAGAGGCGAGCUUAAUCCCGAGUGGAAUAAUGUACUGUAUAAACUUCUCGGCUUCUAAUACAAUCGCAAUGAUGAGAAAUUCCUUACAAGCCUGAGAAGUAUUUUUGGAGAAAUAUGGCCACUUAUUGAUGCACUCCCAUGGGGUCGUAAUGCUGAAUUUUUUUUUAACUUAAGUGGAUGGUGCUGCUUGAGUUGUGAUAGCUGUGGUAGCUAUGAUGACCUGGAUACUUUUGUGAUAGUGCAGUUCAGUAUACUGUGGUGAUAAAUGAAGAACUAACUCAAGUGAAGUGUUAAUAUUGAUAUUGUACCAAUAACAAAAGUCAUUUGAUUUAAAGAAUAGCAUUGUAAACUAUGAAGAGAGCAGUAUUUGGAUUUAUGAUGACAACAUCAUUUUUGUUUUAAACGUUUUAAGGAUGUAAACAGUGGUGAUUAUGACAUAGCAGAAGUGUUGAGUUAAUGUAAUUAUCUUGCUAAAUGGGGCCAGUUGCAUGAAAAUCUGAGUUGUAUACAAUGCUGUAAAAUCUAAAUAUGAAACGGUGUGAGAGUUGUAAUAGCACUUAAUAAUAUGUGAUGAUUAGCAACAGUAUUUUUAGCUACUGAAAAACACCAAGAAACAAUUAUAGUUUGUUUUCUUUAUUAUAGACUUGCCUACUUAU
rnacentral:lncRNA from 1 species